rnacentral:rRNA from 1 species
AUUGAACGCUGGCGGCAGGCCUAACACAUGCAAGUCGAGCGGAUGAAGGGAGCUUGCUCCUGGAUUCAGCGGCGGACGGGUGAGUAAUGCCUAGGAAUCUGCCUGGUAGUGGGGGACAACGUUUCGAAAGGAACGCUAAUACCGCAUACGUCCUACGGGAGAAAGCAGGGGACCUUCGGGCCUUGCGCUAUCAGAUGAGCCUAGGUCGGAUUAGCUAGUUGGUGGGGUAAUGGCUCACCAAGGCGACGAUCCGUAACUGGUCUGAGAGGAUGAUCAGUCACCCUGGAACUGAGACACGGUCCAGACUCCUACGGGAGGCAGCAGUGGGGAAUAUUGGACAAUGGGCGAAAGCCUGAUCCAGCCAUGCCGCGUGUGUGAAGAAGGUCUUCGGAUUGUAAAGCACUUUAAGUUGGGAGGAAGGGCAGUAAGUUAAUACCUUGCUGUUUUGACGUUACCGACAGAAUAAGCACCGGCUAACUCUGUGCCAGCCGCCGCCGUAACAC